GCGCCAGACUCCUACGGGAGGCAGCAGUAGGGAAUCUUCGGCAAUGGACGAAAGUCUGACCGAGCAACGCCGCGUGAGUGAAGAAGGUUUUCGGAUCGUAAAACUCUGUUGGUAGAGAAGAACGUUGGUGAGAGUGGAAAGCUCAUCAAGUGACGGUAACUACCCAGAAAGGGACGGCUAACGACGUGCCAGCAGCCGCGGUAAUACGUAGGUCCCGAGCGUUGUCCGGAUUUAUUGGGCGUAAAGCGAGCGCAGGUGGUUUAUUAAGUCUGGUGUAAAAGGCAGUGGCUCAACCAUUGUAUGCAUUGGAAUCUGGUAGACUUGAGUGCAGGAGAGGAGAGUGGAAUUCCAUGUGUAGCGGUGAAAUGCGUAGAUAUUAGGAGGAACACCAGUGGCGAAGGCGGCCUGCUGGACGAUGACUGACGUUGAGGCUCGAAAGCGUGGGGAGCAAACAGGAUUAGAUACCCCAGUA
rnacentral:rRNA from 1 species